rnacentral:lncRNA from 1 species
GUGGCUUGUUUAAAAAAUAAUAUAAGUAUGGAUUUAUAGUUGAAUUCAUAUAUCCUAGCCACGUUAUCACUAACACGGUAGUUUUUCCUGCUUUAUAAUUCAUCAAUGUGUCUACUAUGGUCAACACGAAAAAUGGCAGCCAACAGAGAAAGAAGCAACUUAACAUAAUUGCAAUGGUUCGAGCCACUUUAACUUCUCUUUUCAUCAAUAGUUCGUUUUGUUGUAAAAUACACUUACUUAGUUUGCACAAAUUCCUUCGAUUUGCUCGAACAUUGCGUAAAAUUUUCAGAUUGCAGACUAACAUGAAAGCAGAUGGUAUAUAAAACACUGUAACCCCACAUAUAACUGCAUAGUAAAUAUUGACUAUAAAUGAACAUGUGUUUGAACAUUGUUUUGUUUCUUGUAUUCCAAUAUUAUGCACCUCUCCAAAGAUCAAACCAAAUGAAAUAACGACUGGAAGCAGCCAGCAUAUAAUGAGCAAAGUUAUCACAGAACGAUUACACAUUAAAUUGUGAUAUCUAAAUGGUAAACAAAUAGCUAUGUAUCUGUCAACGGUCAUACACAUAAGGUGGAAUAUAGAUGUACUUGUAAACAUGACAUCUAAACUAAACGAUAAC